rfam:Canis lupus familiaris chromosome 12, whole genome shotgun sequence.
AGGAGGAACAGCCCCAGUGGCGGGGCAGCUCUGGAAACCUGGAUUCAGCUCCGGCAGAAACUCCGUCUGCAGGGCCUGGAGGCUCCGGGGCGGG